AAUGUUGACCUGUUGUCCACAGGUCACCAUGGAGAGUCCAGCGGAAGGAAUAAGCCAAACAAGAAGAGAAUGAUUGUCUAAAGAAUGAAGCGGUCGGAUUCUGAACCUGUGACAGUGGAGAUGACAGUAGGACUUGUCCUGUAGCUAUGGAAACCUCAGGGCAAGAGUUAGCUCAUGGACUGAGGUCACCCUAGGCUCCUCAGCACAGCACAAGUCUGGAAUAGGAACACCUUUGAGCUUUUCUGCUUUAGUGCCUGCGGGGAUAGGGAAACAGGGAGCUGUGGGGAACAGGCCUGGAGCAAGAGUAGGGUUGAGGCAUGUCCAAACUCUGGAAAUCUCAUCCUGAGAUUGGCAGGGGUAGGAUCGUUACUGCCCUGCCCUGGGCCUGCAUGUUGGGUGUACAUAGCUCUGUGCCCCCACCUCUGCCCCCACUGCAGGAUGACAUGUAAGCCAGAUUAAACCUCCUUUCUCCUUAUAAAGUCAAGUCCAGCAAGCCCCUCCUCAUGCUAAUGAGGCAUCUCAGCACCCUGACCCUCUGCUAAUGAUGUACACUCACCCCAAAAUGUUUAAAUAGCCUUUGCCUCCCCCCUCCAUGAAAAUGAGCUGUCUCACUGAAGCUGCCUCCCAGAGAUUCUCUUCUGCACUCAUGCACCUGAGGUCACUUAGCUCUCAGACUUUCCACCCUGAUCCUUCCCCUCUCAGGAUCUACCAGAUGGGAUCCCAGAGCAUUGUGCCUCCACAGGUGAGGAAGUGGAGCCUGAAAGGCAAAUGCAGACUCUGGGAGAAAAGAGCUGUCACCCACUGCCACUUCUUCCAGUAUCCAGCAGCUCCUGAGAUUGCAUUUCUCUCUAUGUAUCUUCAAGGGUUCACUGAAAGACACAUUGUUUCCUAGCCCUGGGUAAACACCAUCUCUCUGGGAGGAAACGCUAACAUCUAAAUUGUCCCAGUAGUUUAGCGUUACUCGGUGUGAUGGGUGCUGGACAAAGGGGCUUCCCUUCCCCUCGGCCCCCAAGGGUGCUAACUCCCAUUACUUUUGUUUACCCUUAACUGUAUAAGUAUGCACUGAUGGAGCUGAAGUCAUUUAUUCAUCUGUUUCUCCAGCAUGCCUUGUUUGCAUAUGGUGCUGUGUGCCUUUCUCCAGACUACAGGCUCUGACGGAGUCUCCACAGCCAAUGCUGCACUGGGAACAGCACAGAGACUUACUAAGGAGGAACUUGGGCCUGGGUACAGAGAACUGGGGGCUUUUGAGGUCCCAAACUUUUCUGGCUGGAAUCUACACUCCAUUUUUAAUUAGCUUCACGAUCAGACAGUUUUACUCUGAUUGAAGAGGGUGCCUUAAAUUUUUGGUUUGAAUACUGCCUUUUAAUUGCCUGUCUAGUGUUCAGGCAGUAAUUAAACCAUUUUAAUGAAUAGGUGGCUGAGGUGGGGAGGAGUGCACCUGCUUUUCUAGAUAACACUUAUUUGGAAAAAGUUGGAAAAACACAAACUACCCAUUUGCAUUCACUCCCCUCAGCCUUCUGCUUCAGGAAUGACUUACUGAUUCAUUGCAUGGAGGAAUUCUUUAAAACCAAGGAAGGUGAGUUUGGGCUCAUCUGCUGGGCGGAUGCCAACAUGGUGGCAAAGAAGAAUGAGGGGUAGGAAAUGGCUGUGAACUGGGAAGGAACUUGGACUCCGGUGAGCAAAGAGGGCUAACGGUGAAGAGCCUGAGUGAUGGGAGGAAGAUGGGGUGAGGAUGCAGCUCUGUUGGUAGAAUGCUUGCCAGUGUUUGCCAGGCCCUGCAUUUAAUUCCCAGUACUGCAUGAACCAGUGUGGUGACACAAGCCUGUAAUCCUAUCGUGUGGCUGGAGAGGCAUCAUUGGCUAUACAGAGAGUUUGAAGCCAGCCCGGGGUUUUAUGAGAUCUUGUCUCAAAAACAAACCAGAAAGGAAAAAUAAAAUAGAAGGAGGGAGAGAGGGAGGGAGAAUGGGAAGGAUGGAAGGAAAGAAUGUAGUAAAUUUUAACUGAGUCCUUUCCUGGGAUUUUCUAUGCAAUUUAACAGCCACUGAGCAAUUAUUUGCAAUGUACUCAAAUCUUGGCUGCAUUUGUGAUAAAUCCAAUUUCAGAAGAGUAGACACUUCACCAGCUUUGGGGCUUCUCUCUCUCUCAGGGCUUUAGGUUCUCCACGUUGUUAGACACCUCUCUUGUCGUCGCUCUCCCUUUAUCUUUAUCUUCAGCUGAAAUGGCCUUUUGCUUAGACUAUGAGGAGGGAAAAGGCUGGCCACCACGAACAGGCAGUCCCACUUCAGCUAUAACCCUAUAACCAUAGCAACAGCAAGGAGUUCUCUAAAAAGGAAUCCCAACCGCCCCUUGGUGCAUUUUGACCACUGGGUUUUUCUUGUGAGAGAGACACAACCUUAAUCUGACACUGUCUUUUCCGCGUGCCACUCUGUGUCUCUGAGACUCUGACACAGUCACAAUACUGCUUUCUACCAUGUGCCCAAUCACAACUCAAACCAAGUUGAUCAAGAAGUCUAUAGGAAAACCUCUUAUGGCCCCAGUGACCCAGAAGUCACCUCCACACCCUCAUCUUUUGCUACAGGCCUGGCUUAAACGACAUAAAGGCUGUUGGCAACUCUAAAAUAGUGCUUUUCAGACCUAGGUGUAUAUCCGAAUCUUCAGGGAGCUCAGUAACUCACAGAUUCCCGGCUCUAUCCUUGGAAAGCCUAGGUCAGUAGGUCUGGGGCCAGGCCUGAGAACCUGCAUCUCAAAGCAGCCUCGGGUGAUUCUGACGCUGCUCAUGGAGGGACAUGAUGAGAAGCACUGCCGACACACAGUCCUUACCCUGCCCUCUACUGCACAGAACGCACCACAAGUUGUAUUUCACUUUUCAUUUUACCCCCGUUUUACCCCAGGGUUUGUCUGUGUAGCCCUGGUUGUCCUGGAACUUACUCUGUAGACCAGAUUGGCCUUGAACUUAAAGAUCUAUCUGUCUAUGUCCCCCUAGUGCUAGGAUUAAAGGCAUGUGCCACCAUUGUCUGGCUACAUUUUAACUUUAAAAAAAAAAGAAGAAGAGGUGGAAGAGGAAGAAAUUUAACAAAGUACACACAUGAAGAACUGAGUUUGGAUUCUGAACAUCCAUGUAAAACAUAUGUGGCAGAUGUCCUUAAUCCCAGCUCUGGGGAAAUUGAUAUAGAGGAUCCUUAGAGCUUACUGGCCAUCCAGUAUGGAUGAAGUGCAAGGUCCAGAUUCAGUGAGAGACCUUGUUUCAAAAAAAAAAAUAAGGUAGAGAAGCAGUUGAGGAAGACAGUUUACAUUGACUUCUGGCCUCCACAUGCAUGGGUGUGCCCAGCACACAGACACACAGACACAGACACAGACACACAGACACAGACACAGACACACACACACAUACACACACACACACACAAACACAAAGUUGAAAAGAAUACUCUCUCCAGAUAUACUAGAUGCUAAAAUAUAGGGCAAUGGUAGGAAUGGUCACUCCCUGGACCCAAGACCAUUAGUCCUCACAAUUCAGAGCCAAUCGCCUGCCCAUGAGCACAUAUAGAAUAAUAGCGUGUCUGCCAUUUACAAGCCUUUUGGCUUCAGCAGAGGACUUGCUUACUGUGCAUCUCAGUUCUCAUCAGCAAGUUGGAACCGGUAUUCCCUUCCUCACAGAGUUUUUUUUUUAUGAGACUGGAUGGGAUGAGGAGUCCUGAGUGCUGCACUUGGCAGGCAUUAACAUUGAGGUCACAUGAAAUGGGUCAUUGGAGGGAGAACACAGGACACUGGGGUGUCUCCUGCCUCCUUCAUUGCCAACCUGUCACCGCGAGCAUCUGUUCUCCUGUGGAACUAUUCUCCUUCUCCAUCAUUAGGAGGAGCCAUUGUUGUAGAGAAUAGCACACCAGGCUGAAAGGCGCUUUAGAGACCAACUGGUUCCACAGGCGUGGGUGGGGUCGAGCUCUCCCUUUGGGGCCUCCCCUCCCACCAUCAUGGCCUUUCAUGCAGCACAACCUCUUCCCUUAAAUGGCUUCCUAAAUUAGUUGUUUUUUUAUUUCAUUACUGUGACCAAAUACCUGACAAGAAGCAGUUUAAGAGAGGAAGGGUCUACAUCACCCUGCACCACAAUCGGCAAGUGGAGAGCAAUCAGAAAGCGGGGCCAGGCUAUAAAGCGCCAACACCCACUUUGAGCGAUCUACUUCUUCUAGAAAGGCCGCACCUCCUAAAGGUUCCACAGCCCUUCAAUCCCUGAGUUAGGAUUCAAGAGUUCAAAUAGAUGACCCUAUAGGGACCGUCACAUUAAAACUAAAAUACUUUGCCUCUGCCAGACAGCUGUGGGGUGUGACCUUACAUCCCUACCUGAAGCUCCACUGUGGUUAAAUACCCACUUCCCAGAUUUUACCCCUCAAAGACGCAACCCUGGUACUUAAACUAAAGUAACAGGCAGGUAAGAAGAAAGCAAAAUAAGUUAGGGUGAUAAGCUCAGAGGAGGGCUUCUGAGAGAAACUAGAUUGUCCUCUACCUGCUCAGGAUUCUCCAGAGCACAUCUUCAUGCUUCUCACAGUGUGACCAAGAUGCACUGCUAGGGGCCUCCCCAGGGAAGUGGUGACGGGAAGAUCCCAAUGCCUCAAUCCCUCAAUAAAGAGUCAAAGGGUGUUAGAUGCCCAGAGUGUUCGAUGAGGGUCACUGGGACCCAGUUCUUUUCUGUUUCCACUCCUUUAGUGUUCUGUCAGUGCCUAGGCACUGAGAGGGGCACAUCCCUUUGAUAUGACUUCUGCCAGAACUCUCAUCUCGCAGUCACCUGAUGGGCCUGGUUGCUCUUGGUCAAGGUACAGAGUGCGUGUCUUGACGCUUCUGAGUCAAAACCAUUGUAGCCCCUCUGCUCACCCAGGAUAAAACAGACCUGUAAGAAGCCUUUUUUCUGAGGAAAUAAAUGUGGUGGUGAAGUGCCCAGGAAUGAAGUGAUAAUUAUGCAAUAGGACUGGAUAGCGGAGAGAAAAAUGUGGAGCCUUAGAUAAACACUGCUUUCACCGAAGGGUGCAUUUCUGCAAGGAUCUGUGCAAUCAGGGAUUUUUCUGCAGGAUUCCUUCAUGAGGAAAUAUGAAAAUGAGGCAUUCCUCAGCCACACUGGGUGGUAUCAAUGCUAAAGGGUGAUGAUGAAGGUGAUGAGGAGGUUGCCAGCCAUGGUGACGAUAAUGUUUCUUGAAUGCUUUUCAAUAUUCUGUCAUCAUAAAAGGGCUUUGCAAAAUGAGCUAUUUAUGACAGAAACUUAUGUGAAGCAAGCCAUCUUAUAAUCUCCAUUUUGUAGAAGAGGAAACCAAGCUCAGGGACGACACUUCCUUGUUCAAUGAAAUGAACUUAGUCUAUGAAGUGGCGCCAUCACCCUAGGUGUAUCCGAACCAGAGCAGUGCUGUGGGGCUGGUGCUCCUUCCUGGUACUUAGAAAAUAAUGCAUAAUGAAUGCUGGUUAUUAUUUUAUCAUCAUUAUUAAGUAAAUAUCACAUGAUUUCAUCUUACCUAAAUAACAAAUAAAUAAAUAAAUAUAGCCAGCUAUUUUUGGUGCAGCUGGGGACGCCAGAUUGGCACAGCCACCUCGUACUCUCUGGAGAGACAUCUUCGGGCUUCUCAGGCAUAGCCAGGCUUGCUUCACAUAUGUUCUUAUAAAUUUAAAAAGUUGUUUGUGUAGGCAGACCUACUGAAAUUCUGAGUUAUUGUUUAAAUCUGAAAUGUCCCCCGCAGGCUCUCAAGACCCUGCCUCUGGUGCUGUUCUGAUGGUUGUGGAGCCAUUAGGAGGCGGGGCCUGGCUGGCAUAAGUAGGUCACGCUGCAGGGAGGCUUUGAAGGUUAUACGCUUCUCUGUUCCAGGCUGUUUCCUCUGCUUCCCGUCCUCUAUGGUCUGAACAACCCUCCACCACCUGCUCCCACCUUGGUAGACAGUCAUUCCCACCUCAGUGUCUUCUCUGCCAGAAUGGACUGCAGCCUGAGAAAUCCCAAGCCAAAACAAACGACUCCGGUUUAAGUUGUUUCUGUCAGGGGUUUUGGUUAUAGUAAUGAAAAAUAACUGACAUAUUCUGUGUCCAUGGAGAAUUUGGGCUUUUAAAAAUCUCUGAGGCUUUAACAGAUAAUAUUUGGGAACUCGGGUGUUUUUUCUUCCAUCAGACUAUCAGACGCUCAGAACGUUUCCCUCAGUGUGGUGGGCUUACAGCCAUAAAGAUGGCUAGAAGCCCACCGUGAUCCUCCCUCCAUACAAAGCUGCCGCUGGGAAGAGUGAUAUUUCCUUUUCCCUUUAUGGGCUGUGAGGGGCCAGCCCUGUGGUGAAUGUGAACAGAGUCAGGCCAACAUUUAAGAAAUAGACAUUGGAUAGAAAGUGUCAGGGGAGGUUCUGCCUUAUUCACGGUCAGUUUUCUGCUAGAUAGAAGCAAAAGGCUUAAAAGCCUAAAGACGAUACAGCUACAGAAUGGAAGAACUUGGGUCCCUCGAGCGUUGUGAGGAGGAGCAACUCUCAGUUCUCUGGAACCUUACUUCGAUCAACCACUGAUGGUUGUGUGAAAUAGGUUGCUUGAUUUCCCUAACACCUUCAAAGAAGCAUGCUUUGUGUCUUGAUGACAUGUGUCAUGGCAUCCCCCAAGUGUAUUAGCUGGUUUGAGCAUUUAUGCUAUUUAUUUGGUUGGGUCUGUUCUUUAUCACAAACCUACCAAUAGAAUUCCUGAAUCUGUCUGAUGUUGAGACCAGUUCCAAAGAGUUGUUUCUAAAAUACUUUUGGCUUUGUGGGUUCAUGUGGAAGAGUGAAGUGCCUCUUUGUGGGGGAUCCUGUGAAGUAGGUAGUGCUCAGUUGGCAAAUUUUCUUCUAAAUCUAUCACUCUCUCACUCAGUGCACCCAGCAGCCUUGCUGUGGAGAGAGAUGACUGGGACUGGAAGCUUUGGGUGGUAAGAUACGAGUCAACAUUUAUCAAGAAACUGGACAACCUACUUGCAGAUAACAGAGUAUAGGCCAAGCACUCUCUCAUCCAUUUGUGAGGUUGAUACUUCUCACGACCAGUCCAGCAUUAUUGGGGAUUCCUUACAGCCACAGUUGUCAACCUAUAAGGAGUCUACUAUCAGUAGGUAACUUCUAAAUCCUAGGCUAGGAGGCUCUCAGAGAUUAUCAGGUUCAACACUCUCAUCCUAUAGAUGAGGAGAUCAUUUAUAAAGAGGAUGUAUGCCCAACGCCAUAAAGGUUGUUAGGAACUACUCUGGUUUCCUAGACUCUAUCAGAUCUGGCUGUCCCCACUCCCUGUUCAAUUUCCUAAUUAACAGCUCAACAGGUAGAGUCACUUCUACCCCAUAAUGAGUUCAUCUGAAUUAAAAUGAAGUCUUAAAAUUAUACAUUUAUUUGUAUGUGUGUGUGUAUGUGUGUGUGUGUGUGUGUGUGCGGUGUGGUGUGUGUGUGCGUGUGUGUGUGGUGUGUGUGUGUGUGUGUGUGGUGUGUGUAUGUGUGUGUGUCUGUGUGGUGUGUGUGUGCGUGUGUGGUGUGUCUGUGGUGUGUGUAUGUGUCUGUGUGUAUGUGUGUAUAUGUGUGUGUGUAUGUGUCUGUGUGUAUGUUUGUGUGUCUGUGUGUAUGUGUAUGUGUCUGUGUCUGUGUGUGUGUGUCUGUGUGUGUGUCUGUGUGUGUAUGUGUGUGUGUCUGUGUGUGUGUGUGUGUGUGUCUGUGUGUGUGUCUGUGUGUGUGUAGGUCAGAGGAAAAUUUGUAGGAGUCAGUUCUCUCCUUCCACCAUGUAGAUUCCAGGGUGCCUUUACCCACUGAGCUAUCUCACUGGACCUAAAAUUAGAUUUAAAAUUACAAAUAUUUCACAAUCAUUUUGUCCUUUUCCUAUUACCAGUUAAAUCUCUGUACUUUUUAAGGACAGGGGCUAAACAUCUAUACAUCACAGGACCUCAAGGGACUGCACAGAAGAAACAGCUGUUUCUAUACUUUUCACACUUUUGCUCUACUAUUGAAAAAAUGCUCUACCAUUGUUGUAAAGUUCAGAAAAGAUCUCAAAAGCAUUCUUCUUUUUCUACUCUACUCAAAAGUGACAAGUGUAAACAGAUGUGACAAGGACAACAGUUUGCAGCGUUGACUUUUUGAUGGUCAAUCUCUUAGGUCUGUGGAGUGAUUAAAAAUUAUUUUUGGUGCCAACACUCUUAAUUAAAUUUCCCUUGUUAAGUCCUAAUAAUGUCACCUACUGGAGCGGAGACUGCCCCAUUGGCUUGUUGGAAGGGUCUGUCAACUUUGGCUACAGACAACAGCAUCAUUAGAGAUGAUAGAAGAGAAAGAGGUAGAUCUCGGUAAAGGGAGGUGAGUGUGUGAGGGAACCAAAAAUAAAAGCAGACCAUGCCAAGAAGCCAGGUUUAGGUUCCGUCUCUGUCUUGGCUGAGACUGAAUUGGGUUUGUGGUAACAGUUGUGAAAACCUUUGCUCAUUUAAAGGGAACUGUGCUCUGAUUGAGUGCUCCCUACCCUGGUCACUGAUAUUUCUGAGGACCUACCAUCUCCAUGUGCCAUCUCAUUCCCCAACGGACCUCCAGUGAUGCUGACAUUAGAUAGCCUCACAGAGGAGGAUCAGGAAGUGGAGAGAGAUUGUAAGCUCACUUAAGGACACAAACUUACAAAACACUGAAUGAGAUGUGGCUGUGGGCCCUAGAUCAAUUCUAUCUUGUCAUUCCUGUCAGUCCAGACCCCACCACUCUGACAUCAGAGGCUCAGUUCCUCCUGUUCUCCCCAUUCUGUCUCCAUCAAUCCGUUAAAUGUUUACCAUAACCUGUCCUACGUCCUUAAGCCACCUCUCCUCUGAACAUCCCUCCUAUGUUAACCCAUGGCUUUAGCUUUUCCUGUGGAUCUCCAAAUCUGCCUCAAAUCUGACCCAACUUUCAACAGACUCCUGUGCAUAGACUAAAGCUUUUCUUUCUCUUAUCAUCUCCCUUCUUCUAGUCAGCUACCAACACUUGCAGGACUGGCCCAAAGCCCUCACCACCUUCUUCUAUCUGACAGGAAAGAACUAACCACUAUGAAAGCCCUUUCCCCAGCUUCAGCCACACCCCCAGGAUCCAAUCAACCUUCCCUGCAGUUGCCUUCUCAUCUUUGCUGUCUAUGAUGAAUUGUUUCUCAUACUCUUGGUUUAGGGAAAGCCUUUGCCCCUCCUGCCUAGAUUUUAAGGGUGGUCCUUUUGUUUUGGCAUCUUUGUCACGUAUACCCUUCAAUCCCCUUUGUUCCAUCGACUGCCCGCGUCAUUCUAUCCUUUCCACGGGCUGUGUGGAUCUCAAGGUCACUUUUACACUUCUUGCCCACUGUCUCUGUGUUGUAUCUCUGUAUCCUACUUAGAUAAUUAUUUUUCAGCGGGUCCCUCCUACUUCCAGUCCAUCCAGCUCUGACCUAUCCUUCCUACAGUUGUUAGGUUUACAGGUUUAAAAAUCUAUGUCUAAUCAGACUUUCUUAUGUAAAAUUCUGUCAUCGCUCCUACAUUCCCAGCAAAGUGAUGUAGGAGUUCUUAGCACAUGAUUUAUGGCCCUGUGGGAUUUGGCAUCAGCCAUCUGCCCCAAAUUCAUUGCUCCUCAUUGACCUCCUGUCCCUGGAUCUUUGCCUUUGAACCAUAUAAACCCACUUAGCUUCCCAAGCAUAACUUCUUCGCUCUUCUGUGUUUUCAUACACAAGUCCCUCUGCCAGGAAUAUUUUCCUCCCUCUUUUGGACAAACUUUAAUUUCUCUUUUGAAAUUAGCUUAAGGGUAGGGUUCCUUCAGCAAGUCUUUUGGGGUCUUCUAUGAGAGUUCACUGCUCUCUGCUCUCUUCUGUCUUCCUCUCUGCCUCCAAUAGAAACCCUCCCCACAAUGAGUUACCGUGUGCUUGUAGACUAAGUUCUUGGGACAGAUAUGUCUCAUUCAUCUCUCUUUUAAUGUCUCUUGGUUUGGGGGUAGGGGAAGCACAAGGCAGCCAGUAAAUGCUGUUGAAGAAAUGGAUGCAGCCAUCCCAAAGCCCUCUGACCCAGUUUCCUCUUCCUAGGACUCAUGUCUGAAUCCAGACUUCAGCCUAAGCUCUGGUUUCAGUGUCAGUAGUCACUUCCCUCCAUGGGACACGUUACACUAGAAUCACUGCCUCUCAUGCUUGAGUGUGGGUUCAAUGCCCUCUCAGUAAUGUUUGUAUAUAAAUCAAGAGAUUUUUGCCAAGCCCAUGUUAAUCAAUAGAGUUAGAUUUACCUAAUUUAAAAUGCCCUUUGACAGAGGAUAUCAUAGACACAUAGGCUACCCAAAUUCAAUCCUAAUAUCUGAAGCCUCCUUCUCCAUUGGCAUCAAAACAGCACUGACUUUUUAAAAAGGUGCAGCCAUGGUGGAUGGCUUGGAUCCCAACACAAGCCUGGAACAGAUGGGACCCAGCGAACUUCUGAUUGCUGCUGGUGGUUAUGACUGAGUUCAUUUCUGCCUCCCUUGAAGUCUGCUAUGUUACAAUAUUGCUAGGAUAAGAGUCAUUCCUAACCAGUACAUAUAAUUUCAUAUAGAGCAACCAGAAAUAAAAUAGGCUAUAGAAAAUGCCCUGGAAUUAGAGCUAGAGGUUCUCGGUCCCAUCCUCAACUCCACUGUGUGCUUAGCCGUGUGGCCUAGAGUACAGUUGCUCUGAGCUUUACCAACCUGUGAAGUAUGACAAUACUCACCCCUCUGGUCAUCAAAGGGUUGUAGCCCCAUUGCUUCUUUCCAGGGAUUUGGUGGUUUGUGUUGCCAUUAACUUACAUUUGAUUUUCAUAGUUGUGUGCAUUGGUCUAUGAGAUUAAGACUCUAACCCAAGAAAUGCAUCGUCUUUUGGGACCAUUUGUAUCAGGAACUGCAUUACCCACCGAUAUGCUCACAUCCAAAGUCAUUGGCCUCAACCCUGGAGAUCAGCUAACUGCAUCUAAUGGGGAACCUAGAGAGUAUGGCAACGAGGUCAGGCAAAAUCUUUUGAUGAGAACUAAAGACCAUUCUUUGAAUUGUUACUCUUGGUUUUCUCAGUGACAUCUGAUGCUCCUAAAAGCCAGCUGGAUGGAUCCAGCUAUGAGUGAGACAGAUUUGGUUUCACAAGCAGUAAGCAGGCAGUGUUUGCUCUUGGCUUCCAGUGGAAUUUCUCCACAGAGUCUCCCCAUCAUCCUGAACUGUAACUCACCACACUACUCCGAUAGAAAAAUAAGAACAUUUAAAACGACCUAUACAUUAAGAACUAACUACCCAUUUAAUGCUCAUACAUGUUCUUCACUAUCCAUGGCUAUUUAGCAGUUUAGGGAACAAACUGGUGUUGGUGCCUCAAAAACAGAGAAAAUCCAGAAGCUGACAACAGCAGAUGGUUUGACUCUAGCCUUAGCACCGUUGAGCCUGUACUGUGUUGGACUUAUUUUCUUUCUUCCUGGCAAAAUAUAUGUAUAUGUAUAUUUAUAUGUAUAUGUAUAUGGCAUAUGCAUAUGCAUAGGUAUAGAUAUAUGUACAUGUAUAUAUAUACGCAAUGCAGCACCUGAUUUAAAUAUAUAAUUACUAUAUAUUUAAUAUUAAAAGGUUGCACCUUUUAAAAAGUCAGUGCUGUUUUGAUUCCAAUGGAGAAAGAGGCUUCAGAUAUUAGGAUGAAAUUUGGAUAGCCUAUGUGUCUAUUAUAUCCUCUGUCAAAGGGCAUUUUAAGUUCAGUAAAUCUAGUUCUAUUAAAUAUAUACAAAUAUAUUUAAAUAUAUGUGUAUAUAUAUUUAAAUCAGGUGCUGCAUUGCUUUAACACACAAAGCUUGAACCUUGGAUAUCGAAUCAUUUACUCAACAUUUUUUCCCAACCCACAUUUCCAGAGGGCUCUAAAAACCAUGCUCAGGUUGGCCCUGCAAUGGCACUGUGGAUCUUGGUUGCUCUUGAAGCCAAGGGAUAAGCCUGGACUCAGAGGCCUGUGGAAGAGGGACAUGCUGAGGAUUCUCCAGCAGAAGAAAGCCUGAGUUUCCGUCUCACACUCCUUAGACCGAUGCCAAGUUUGCUUUCUAGUAACUCAUCACUUCUCCUGGAGACAAGCCCCUGGACCCACCUAUGCACACCACGUCCAUGAAGCCAUACAUCCCAUAGCAGAUCUGGAAGAGGAGGUCUUGGCGUUGCCAUUUUGCUGAGGGACUGAAGGUCGACCAGAUGAGCCAAGAGAUACUGGCGAUGAGGAAGAGAGAACCCAGGAUGGCGGCUGCAAUCUGAACCUUCUCGAUGACUGUCAGGGAUAUGGCCUGCCACUGAGGAGGAGAGAGUAACAGAUUAGCUGCUUGAGGGCCUGUCUCCCAUUCCCACACUCUCACUUCUGCUCCAGCAGCUCACUGGCAUAGAGCUUAAACCAGGGCUUCUCCACUUGUAGUACAAUGGAUGUCUUUGCAGUUUUGUAUUGUGCUUUUGAUGCAGAGGAAACCUGUACCAUUUAAACUGAUCAGACAUCAUUGUAAGGAGGGGGCUCUGGGCAGGCAUAGUGGAGGAGGAGACCCUUAUAUUUGAUUUUCUAAAACAUAGAAAUCAGAAGGUGAGAGGAAAAACAAAGAGCUAGUGUGGGUGUUGUUCCAAGGUGCCAGAAUAUUCCUUCUAGAGCAGCACAGUUGAUUUCCCCACUAAUAGGUGCUAAGAGGGCAUAGGUCUUCCUUUGCUUUGUUUCUACCACACCACCUUAGACGCCAUUUUCUAUACAUGUUAGAGAUCAACAAUUUGACAUAGAAGGAGAGGACACGGGAUGUGGGAGUAAGAAAAAAAAACAGCUUGCAAUAUACUAACUGUAUUUUAACUCCUUUUAUUAUUUUUUUUUAAAGGAAGAAAGACACCAGUGUACUUACAGCAGUACUGAGUUGGAUGCUGGAGUGUGGGGCUAGAGAGGUCACAGAAGUGAUAGAAAUCUGCUGGUGGAGACAGGAGUGACUUGAAGAACUCAGACCAAAUGCAGGACGUCCACUACCAUCUCCAGCUAACCACAGAUGGAUCUAAUGUCACAUCCUGCAGAGAGUCACCCAUGGCUUCUCCAGGUGGAGAUCAGUGCAUCAACUCAAAAGGACUUUAUGCUGGAUGAAUGCAGCAUCUCACUCUUCGAGAACUUAACACGUAACCAAGAGGAUAUAUUCAUGUACCUAUCUGCCCUCCAAAGGACCCCUGGAAGGCAGGGGUGAAGUUCACAUCUUUAUAUGCCUUUUCACCAUUGCCAAGCUCUACAGUGGAAGGCAACCUUUUGUGUUUCAAUAAUAAAAUGAAAAAACAAAGCCAGAUGUCCUCCUAGAUUCCAGCAUUGCCCACCUUGUGAGAAGAAAAACAAUAUUUAUCUUAUUAAUUCGUCUGAAGAUCUGGCUUCAAGAGUCCUUAGGUUACCCAGUUGCUAUGGAAAUGCCAGGUGAAAUAUGAAAAAAAAGAAGGCGGGUUGAGCACGGAGGUGGAGGAAGAAGGACCAACCAGCCGAGAUUGGCAUGAAACACCAGGAGGGCUUUAGAGAGUUUUAUUAAAGCAAAUUACCUUGUCUAUGAGACCAGGGGGGCAGGGGAGCAAGGGAGUAAGUUAGUUCUCGCUCAACUUAAAUGGAGGCCAGUAUGUAAGGGUUACAAUAGGGCAGUGGUUCCCAACCUUCCUACUGCUGCAGCCCUUUAAUACAGCUCCUCAUGUUGUGGUGACCCCAACCAUCAAAUUAAUUUUGUUGCUACUUCAUAACUGUAGUUUUGCUACUGUUAUGAAUCAUACUGUAUUUAUGGAGAUAGAGGUUUGCCAAAGGGGCCUCAAGCCACAGGUUACGAACCACUACCGUAGGGGUUAGCACAACCAUUUUCCCACCUCCUUCUACUAUUCAUCUCCUUCCUUCUUUUCUUUUCUUUUUUUCCCCCUGCAUCUCUCUCUUCACGUCUGUAGAUGUGACACCGACUGCCACCUCAGCACAGUGAGGUCAGUGAUUAUUGCUCCCACUUCACAAGUGAAUGAAAACGAACGAGUUGGGCUCUGAGACCAGUUCUACUUAUCCAAUAGUUACCCAAACCUCCCCUUUCCAUUGGCAUUGUUGCCCACGUCUCUUCUUCCACCCGCAGCAGCCUGUCUUUAAAAACAUUAACCUUUUGGUCCCGAUGUGACAGAUGACCUUGUUGGAUCCCCAUUGGGAUCUCCCUCCCUGGACACAUAUCCACCCCAUUGCUCUUUCCUCCCUCUCCCUCUCUGAGAUACAUUCUAGGUCAUGUUCGUAGGAUACUAACUGAUGUCUGUGCGUUGGGGGCUGGGGGAGGGGGACAGGUCAAAAUAGGCUCUCAGUUCCUCUUCCCUCCAGCCUCAAACUUCCAACCUUAGUGGGAAGGAGACAUUUGUUGGAAAAGAGUUAAGAGACAAAGAUUUUCAUACACAGACUACUCCACUAAAGAUUGCUCCUAGGACUAAAGGAAAUUACUACUUAAAAUUUAGUGAAGGAAAGUCCAGCCUUGGAGCUGUUGUAGUGUAAAGACCGGCAGGAUCUAAACUUAAAGUCAGAAUUUCCCUCCCAGGCUAGAGCUUUGCCUUGUGAUAGGUGAUAGGGAGGAUUGGGCCUAAGUGCAAGAAUUAGGUCAUAGGGCGUGUGUGUGUGUGUGUGUGUGUGUGUGUGUGUGUGUGUGUGUGUGUGUGUGUGUGUGUAGGGGGCAUGAAGAUACCAAAGAAGGUAGGGUGUGUAUAUGUGUGUGUGUGUAGGAGGCAUGAAGACAGAUGCCAAAGAAGGGUGUGUGUGUGUGUGUGUGUGUGUGUGUGUGUAGGGGGCAUGAAGAUACCAAAGAAGGUAGAGACUUCCUUCUCAGUGUCUGACCUAGGCUGACAAGAUAAGUCAGGCCCUGUUUUCUGUCGCUUCUUAAAGCCUCACAUUCUGGGACCAGCCAACAGAGAGGGCUAUCAGUAGCAUGUAUGUGAGAUUAUAUACAAACAUGCAUACCUGUGUGUGCACGUGUGUGUGUGUGACACACACACACAUACACACAACUAUAGGCACAACAAACAAUAUCAUGAGUCCAAGAUGUUAAUCAGUUGUUUGUGUGGCUGUAUUCUGAGUUUGUGGAGGAAGGCUGAGGCAGGAACAGACGAUGCCCAAACAGGGAGAGUGAAUAGAAGAAAAAAGCUAGGGUAACCUGGAAAAUUCCAGUGUCUUCUCCCAUCAGGACAGUAGACAAUCAUUUCCUCAUUCUCCAGACUGUGGGAGUCAGUGUAUUCUGGCAUCAGGAUCAGGACAAAACUGACUUAUCAUGAUGGCCUUCUUGCCAGCAGACUGGAGGAUGAGGGAAGAGAGGAUAGUGACCCCAAAGGUGCCCCAAGAUGUGAAAAUCCAUUAUUGUUCACAGACAAGCCGUCCUGAAUUUUGUGCAUAUUGUAUUAGAAAGUGUACGAACAGCUCUGUUUUCUGAAGAGAGUGUUUUAGCUCUAUCAUCCAUCCACACCCCUUCCCACAUGGACCAUGCUUUUGUCAAUUGAUCUAAGGCCAAAUCUUGGCUUCAAGGGACACCAGCAUGACAGUAAUAUUGGAGAGAAAUUAUGAAUUGUUGUGAGAUGACUUGAUCUAAAGAAGAGAGAAAUCUAUUAUCAAGAAGAGACUUAAAGCCCUAAUAAGCUGUAGUUAUCAACACUAAAUCCAAUUAACCUACAAAAUUAUUUCUGUUUCUAUUCUCAUACCACCCACUUACUUUCAGAAACACCCAGUCACAGACAGCCUCACACAGCUAAUCUAUGUGCAUCUUCAUGGAAAACGUCCUAGUUUAUCUGUUCAUUGUCUCAAAACAAUCGGAACAUUAAAAGGGACAAGAAAGGUGGGCAGACGAACCCAAGCCCCCUGAACUGUGACAUUUAUUAUCCUGGUAAUUAUUUUAUUCCUACCCUGCUUCUCUCCCUAUAAUUUAACUGGUAUAAGAUAAAUGUACCUAUUCCCUCUAACUGCUUCUAAAUUUACUCGACUGCUACUAGAGAGAAGGACUUAACCUCACAAUAAUUGAAUUUAAAUAACAUCCAAUUCUGUGAAGUUGAACAUGAUCUGCAUAGUAAACAAACCACAGGGUUUGAGGGCUGGCAGGAAGAAAGAAGGUCACACUUAAUGUGCGUGAUUGUAUCCGUACUUCUAAUGGCCCAGAUGUGUAAUCUAAUGUCUGUUUGUCUUUCUGUCUAACUCAUCAUUAACAUCGUUAUGGUUACCAAAGAGCCAAAAUUAAAGGCUCAACUGGCCUCGUUCCUCUGCCUGGCUCAAGAGAAAAACAUAAUUCAGCUAAGCCUUGAGGAACUAGAAUUGGGCUAUUUGCAUACAGUGGGCUGGGCCCAUGUCCAAGGUUCCAGGCUACUACACUUCUCAGGAAGUUUCAGGGAUGCCAGGUCACCAUGUUCUCUUUUUUUGUUCCAGAAACCAAGCCAAAUUAUAUGAGAGGUUAGAGAGAAAGGUGCAGACUUGUCCCCUUGAGUCAGUCCUCCAUGGUCCUCGCACACCAGCAGAGGAGAGUGCAGCCUCAACCCCGCAAACCCUUCAUGGUGCUCCCUGGAGAAACUGUGGUGAAAUUUUCCUAAAAUUAAUUUUCAUUCACUGUGAUUAAUGCAUCAUUCAGAGGGCUUAGGGGAUACGGCGGAGGCUGCAGGUGCAAACAAACUGGAGUCAUGUGUUGCUUUCUGACGCUUCAGAUCAGGGCACUAGGUACUUUAGGAUCGCACAAAGCACAGAAGCAAGACCUUUCCCCGAUGCAAUCCCAGCUUGCCCACUGUCUGGCUGGUGACUAUGAGUUUAAGUGAUCGCUACCUGAAUCCACCGUUUCUGAGAGACGAGGCUGCAUCAGAAUCACUUGGGAAGCGUGUUUGGUGUCUUUGUGCUGGCUGCAACCCAAAGACUCCAACUCCAUGAAGACCCACUUAAAGCAAAAUUGGCUCAGACCUACUUUGUAACGUGUUGGACCAGAUACUCAUUAACAAACCUUCUGCCUCCUACAUUACUUUGAGACUUUUAUGUACACAAAGAUAAAAAUAAGCACUGAGAAUUAAAAUUUAUUGAGGA